CUGGUGGUGGCACAGCUGCACCUGUACUGCAUGCCAGAUGGCACAAGAGUAAAAAAGUAGUAGUAUCAGUAGUAUCAACUAAAAGUACAGAAUGUCUGUUUUUAGGCCUGUUUUUAAAAGCUGCAGCAAUGACUGAGAAAAUGGAGAUAUAUCAGCUUCCUUGAUGCAGGUAAACCAAAUAUAUAGCUGAUGAAAUUGCAUCAUCAGUUAUAACGAUCUGCAAAUUGCGCAAGUCAAAAUCUAGUGAUAGUAUCAGCAAUGUACAUCUUAAAUCCAACCUGCCGAAACAUGCACAAAUCUGCAGCAGCCGUCUCUGGGCUUUCCUGUCCAAGCACACAGGCAGCCAUCCAGACAAAACUCCUUGUUUUUCCACAUGUAAGGCUUUAGUGAAUUACAUGCCGAAGACAUGACAGUGGUAGUGUGUGUUCUCUGACUGCAAACUUUAAACAUCAGUAUAAUGUCUAUGUAAAUAUUGGAGAUAAAAGCAGAUGUGAACAUGCUAUGAAAUAUCAAACUUAAACUGGAGCUUGGGUAAUGUAAUAUUUAAGAGGAAAAAAGACAUGGCAUACUGUUUUAGGAAAAUCAACAACAGGGUGUGAUAGAGUCUUAGGCAAAGUGAAGCUUAAACUAUGAAUGAGAUUCUUUUUCAAAAUCAGCAGCAUGUUUCAUUCUUGCAAUCACAAUAAUUUGCAGUAACAAUCUUAUACUUUAGAGUUAACAUUGUAAAAUGUAGAUAUGUCCUGUUAUCUCUGACCAUCUAGCAGCUAUGGUGAGGUGCAGUGACUAAUAGGAGAUAGUCCUCUUACUUUUGCCAUAAUCCUGACACCAUGUUAUUCCCUCACCUGCACUGCUUUUCACAUAUUUACGCUUUUCUUAAAUAAAUGACAAAAACAUUCAGU